GGAGUUUAGAGUUAUGGGCCUUAAUCACCACCACUAUAUCAGCUUUACCACAGGGAACAAGACUCACGUGGCUGUUCAGGAAUGAUUGGCUCAGACAUAAGGAUAGUAAACACUGAUUAACAGUAGGAUGAGCAGGUGCAGGUUAUUCUGCGCGGUGAGUCACUGACAUCUCCUCAUUGUGUGGAUGGGAUUCUUGGAUCUAUCAAUGAACAACAGAUGGAAGCCAAAUGGCUAUCUCUUGAGCACAGCCUUGCUUUGUCAUGAAUUGCGCUGCUGCUGUUUAACCCUCUUGUUGUCUGCCUCGCACAUCGUUGCCGGUUCCGCUGCAGUGGUCACUCCAACGUGAUCUCCAGCUGCUGCUUCACCGGGAAUGGGCGGCACCUGUGCACGGCGUCUUGGGAUAAAACCUUGCGGCUGUGGGAUAUCCCAACGGGGCGGUUUCGUUCACGAGGAGGAGUGACGCUAAGCAAGGGCCACGAGGGCAACAUCAGCUCCUGCGUGUUCUCUGAGGACUCCUCUCUCCUGGUGUCUGGUGCCUGUGACAGAAAUGUCACCGUCUGGGAUAUGGAAGGACCUUGUAAAAAACUGGUUCUGAAGGGACACACAGACUGGGUAACGGAUGUCAGCAUCAGUGCUGACAAGAAGUGGAUUGCUUCAAGUUCUAAGG